GUUCCACAUAAGCCAGGGUGGUGAAGCUGAGGCAGGAUGUGAGGAGACCAGGCACACAGCAGCCAGCCGGAUACUCUAGCAACCAACACUCAACGGCGUGCUGUGCAGAUGAGGAGACUGAAGCACAGGGGGCUUAAGUGACCAGUCUGCGUCCCACAGACGGCACCAGGCAGCUGAACAAGUGCCCCACCUCCCCAGUGCUGACUGACCCUGUGCUCCAUCCACCCCAUCUGGUCCACAGGAAGGAAAUACCUGGGCUUUCUUCACCCCGCACCCAGGACCGGCCCAGCUGCUUCAACUUCCCUGACAAGGCCUUCCUUGGACACAGGAGUGCAGCAUGUGGGCAGACCCCAUGCCCCAGUACCCUACCAGGCCCAGAGAGCCCUGUUCUCACAGCUCCCUUUGCCUCCUCUAACCUUGGAAGGACAUUUUAACAAUGGCGACUCACCCGACUCAUCUCCCAGUGGGACAGGCUUCGGGGCAAGGCUGGGCUGGGGACCGAGGCUAGACAGAAACAGGCAGUCAGAGGAAGUGUCUCCUGCCCGCCCCCCCCACCCAACCCUGGAGCCCUGGCCCCAUCAGCCCAUACCCUGUGUGGCCACAAUGAUGCCUCAGUUUCCUCAGCUCACACUGCUCUCACCCCACAGUCUCAGAAAAACCAUAUCUAGCCAUUAUACCAACUAGGGCCUGUCUGCCCCCACACCCAACUGCCACAGACCCAGUGCCUUGUUGGUACUCUUGGCAAGAA